CGCACGUGCCCCCAGCCCGCGGCCGCCCUUUGGCCACGCCCCCUUCUCCAUGGCAACGGGACGCGCGGGCUCUGAUUGGCUGAGCCGCCGUAACCAAGAUGGCGCCGCCCACGAUACCGGGCAGCCCCUCAUUCAAUAUGGCGGCCCCCAUUGGAGGGAAACCGGAAGUUCCUUUGCUCCUCCCACUUCCGGUUCCGGCCUGUGGGGCCUGAGGCGCGCGCGCGUGAGGCCCGAGCCGCCCCACCAUGCUGCCCCCUCCCCUGCUGGCUGCUGCUGCCGCUGGCGCUGGCCGGACCCCCGGAGGUGACGGUGCCCAGACCCCGAGGGGUGGCCCUGAGCCAGCUGCCGUUUAUGACCCCUCGGGGCCGUUUCGCUGCCUGGACGGUUCCGGCUCCAUCGCCUUCGCCUGGGUCAACGACGACUACUGCGACUGUCGGGACGGCUCCGACGAGCCCGGUGCGAC